CCAUUUUUCUUUCAUAUCUUUACGAGUGUGUUGUUGUGGUUUCAUCUCCAUCUCUUAACUGUCACUAAAGAAAUUUUGAAUUAGGAAGACCAACCCAUCGAUUUGUUCACUUUCUAUCUUCUCUCUUUCAAAUAGUUUCUGAACGUGAAGAAGAUGGUCGUUGUUAAUUUAGGAGUCGUGAAGUUGGGUACUUCUGAAAUUCGUAUCAAAUGAAAUCACUUGAGAUUUGGGGGUCUUUGCUAUAAAUCUAUUCCAUCAGCAAAUCCAUGGGAUGGGUUGGUAGAAAUCAGGUGGCGUUUCAAGGAGUCAGAGCUUACCUAGUGGGAUGAAAUCCGGUUCGUUGGAAGUCCAUAUUUUCCGAUCCGUCACAGUUGGUAUCAGAGCAGUUCCGGUUCAAACGGUACUGUGCGUUUGGAACUCACCCGUGUUCAGUUCGCGCGGUAGCUGCAGUUUCUGAACGUGAAGAAGAUGGUCGUUGUUAAUUUAGGAGUCGUGAAGUUGGGUACUUCUGAAAUUCAUUUCAAAUGAAAUCACUGGAGAUUUGGGGUCUUUGCUAUAAA